GUCGAGAAUCGAUCCAAACCCUUUCUUCUUCAUUUUUUUCUCAGAAAAUCCAUAGAUUACACUUGAAAUCCAGAGAAUCGAUCGAAGCUUCAAUAGUUUCAGAAAUGGCAAAGACAAGAGGAGGAGGACAAGUUGGUUCUCGUCGUAGUAGACGUAAUCAAGGCUUGGAGGUAGAAGAUCCUACAACAAUAGGAAAGGUGAAAAAGAACAGAAUAGGAAAGAAAGUGGCUACCUCUACGAGAAAAGGUAGGAGAAUCAAGAAAGUGGCUGGUCAAUAUGAUGAGUUAGAAGAUAUUACCCGCAAGUUGAUGCGGUUGAUGAUGUAACACCGCAAGAUGAUGCGGUUGAUGAUGUAACACUUCAAGAUGUGGAAGAAGAUCAGGGUAUUGAUGGUAAAGGAGAUGCUGCUUUAGAAAGAGACGCUUGUUUGAGUGAUCAACAGGAACAACAUGAUGAUGAAGAAGAAGCUGCGUAUAUGGAAGAAGAUGGAGUUGGCAAUGGUCAAGAGAAUGCGAUUUCUAGUACUGAAGGAAUUGAGUUACCGGAGGACGGAGUGAAAAAAAAAAAAAGGACCAACAAAGAUGCGUAGAGUGGCUGGAAAUCCUAAUGAAAAGGUUGCAGUUACUUUCACUGACUUUGGUGAUCAUGUUGGACCUGGUUCAGUAACACUAUCAACUUUUCUUGGUGCUCUUGUGAGGGAACACGUUCCGGUUACACUUUCUGAUUGGAGAAAACUUGAUGCAGUGACUAAACAAACAAUGCGGGAAGAAAUUCAGUGACAAACUCUUUAAAAUUCAACCUCCCAAUAACCCUCUAAGAAGAUUAAUUGAUGCGUGGAAGCUAUAUGGGUGAAUUUUUGUCGAGAUGGCCCUGUUCGUCACGUAGUUGCCGUGACUGCGUCUGCGACUGUACAAAACGACAGUGACGAUAGCCACACAUAAAACAAAACGACGGUACAGAUCUGAUGGAGGUGUCGUAGGAGAGAGAUAACGGUGCCGCGUUUACACAAAAGAGAUCGUCGGAAAUUUGAGCGAUUGUUGCAGCAACAUCUUUUAUAAAAAGUAGCGACUCUUUUUAAAAAAAAACACGGCUAUUCCUUUUAACUAUUUGAACUCCGGCGCGUCUAUUUUGUAAUUGCCGAAAGUAGUCGCUGCUGCGACUACGUGACGAACAUGGCGAGAGCUUGCAAGAUUAUGAUGGGUUUCAGAAACAGAACAA